rfam:Aedes aegypti strain Liverpool supercont1.265 genomic scaffold, whole genome shotgun sequence.
ACGCGAUGGCUUUCGGUUAUUAUUCGGCGGAGUACUACCCGAAGGUCCACGGACCUUACGAUCCUGUCCAUUUCUACGGCAAGCCGGACUAGGUU